rnacentral:rRNA from 1 species
GACAGAGGGUGCAAACGUUGCUCGGAAUCACUGGGCGUAAAGGGCGUGUAGGCGGGAAUGUAAGUCGGGCGUGAAAUCCCUAGGCUCAACCUAGGAACUGCACUCGAAACUGCGUUUCUUGAGUAUCGGAGAGGAAAGCGGAAUACCUGGUGUAGAGGUGAAAUUCGUAGAUAUCAGGUGGAACACCAGUGGCGAAGGCGGCUUUCUGGACGAUUACUGACGCUGAGGUGCGAAAGCGUGGGGAGCAAACAGG